GACAGAGGGUGCAAACGUUGUUCGGAAUUACUGGGCGUAAAGCGCGUGUAGGCGGCUCGGAAAGUCGGUUGUGAAAGCCCUGGGCUCAACCCAGGAAGUGCACUCGAAACUUCCGAGCUGGAGUCCUGGAGAGGAAGGCGGAAUUCUCGGUGUAGAGGUGAAAUUCGUAGAUAUCGAGAGGAACACCGGCGGCGAAGGCGGCCUUCUGGACAGUGACUGACGCUGAGACGCGAAAGCGUGGGGAGCAAACAGG
rnacentral:rRNA from 1 species